UACAGAGGUCUCAAGCGUUGUUCGGAUUCAUUGGGCGUAAAGGGUGCGUAGGCGGCGAGGUAAGUCGGAUGUGAAAUCCCGGGGCUCAACCCCGGAACUGCAUUCGAUACUGCCUUGCUCGAGUACUGGAGAGGAGACUGGAAUUUACGGUGUAGCAGUGAAAUGCGUAGAUAUCGUAAGGAAGACCAGUGGCGAAGGCGAGUCUCUGGACAGUUACUGACGCUGAGGCACGAAGGCCAGGGGAGCAAACGGG
rnacentral:rRNA from 1 species